rnacentral:rRNA from 1 species
UGAGGAAUAUUGGUCAAUGGGCGAGAGCCUGAACCAGCCAAGUAGCGUGCAGGAUGACGGUCUUAUGGGUUGUAAACUGCUUUUAUGUGGGGAUAAAGUGCGUGACGUGUCAUGCAUUGCAGGUACCACAUGAAUAAGGACCGGCUAAUACCGUGCCAGCAGCCGCGGUAAUACGGAAGGUCAGGGCGUUAUCCGGAUUUAUUGGGUUUAAAGGGAGCGUAGGCUGUUUAUUAAGCGUGUUGUGAAAUUUACCGGCUCAACCGGUGGCUUGCAGCGUGAAGUGGUCGACUUUAUUAUGCAGGAAGUGGGCGUAAUUCAUGGUGUAGCGGUGAAAUACUUAGUUAUCAUGACAAACUCCGAUUGCGCAGGCAGCUUACUGUAGCAUAACUGACGCUGAUGCUCGAAAGUGCGGGUAUCAAACAGG